UACUUACCCGUAACGUCGCCAGAG
rnacentral:rasiRNA from 1 species